rnacentral:sRNA from 1 species
GAGCAAGCGCCAUGUUGAAGCCAUCAUUACCAUUCAGAUCCCUCUUAUUCCUGCAGCUGCCCCUGCUGGGAGUGGGGCUGAACACGACAAUUCUGACGCCCAAUGGGAAUGAAGACACCACAGCUGGUGGGAAAUCUGGGACUGGAGGGGGCUGGUGAGAAGGGUGGCUGUGUGAAAGGGCCGUACAGAAAUCUGGUACCUGCCACUGGCCAUUACAGUCAUGUGGGCAGAAUUGAAAAGUAGAGUGGGAAGGGCAAGGGGAAGGGUUCCCUGCCUCAUGCUACUUUUUCUUUCUUUCUUUCUUGUUUGUUUGUUUCUUUCUUUCUUUUGAGGCAGGAUCUCACUAUGUUGCCUAGGCUGGUCUCAAACUCCUGGCCUCUAAAGAUCCUCCUGCCUCAGCCUUUCAAAGCACCAGGAUUACAGACAUGAGCCACCGUGCUUGGCCUCCUCCUUCUGACCAUCAUUUCUCUUUCCCUCCCUGCCUUCAUUUUCUCCCCAAUCUAGAUUUCUUCCUGACCUCUAUGCCCGCUGACUCCCUCAGUGUUUCCACUCUGCCCCUCCCAGAGGUUCAGUGUUUUGUGUUCAAUGUCGAGUACAUGAAUUGCACUUGGAACAGCAGCUCUGAGCCCCAGCCUACCAACCUCACUCUGCAUUAUUGGUACAAGAACUCAGAUAAUGAUAAAGUCCAGAAGUGCAGCCACUAUCUAUUCUCUGAAGAAAUCACUUCUGGCUGUCAGUUGCAAAAAAAGGAGAUCCACCUCUACCAAACAUUUGUUGUUCAGCUCCAGGACCCACGGGAACCCAGGAGACAGGCCACACAGAUGCUAAAACUGCAGAAUCUGGGUAAUUUGGAAAGAAAGGGUCAAGAGACCAGGGAUACUGUGGGACAUUGGAGUCUACGGAGUAGUGUUCUUUUAUCAUAAGGGUACAUGGGCAGAAAAAGGAGGUAGGGGAUCAGGAUGGGAAGGGAGGAGGUAUUAGGGGCACUACCUUCAGGAUCCUGACUUGUCUAGGCCAGGGGAAUGACCACAUAUGCACACAUAUCUCCAGUGAUCCCCUGGGCUCCAGAGAACCUAACACUUCACAAACUGAGUGAAUCCCAGCUAGAACUGAACUGGAACAACAGAUUCUUGAACCACUGUUUGGAGCACUUGGUGCAGUACCGGACUGACUGGGACCACAGCUGGACUGAACAAUCAGUGGAUUAUAGACAUAAGUUCUCCCUGCCUAGUGUGGAUGGGCAGAAACGCUACACGUUUCGUGUUCGGAGCCGCUUUAACCCACUCUGUGGAAGUGCUCAGCAUUGGAGUGAAUGGAGCCACCCAAUCCACUGGGGGAGCAAUACUUCAAAAGAGAAUCCUUUCCUGUUUGCGUUGGAAGCCGUGGUUAUCUCCGUUGGCUCCAUGGGAUUGAUUAUCAGCCUUCUCUGUGUGUAUUUCUGGCUGGAACGGACGAUGCCCCGAAUUCCCACCCUGAAGAACCUAGAGGAUCUUGUUACUGAAUACCACGGGAACUUUUCGGCCUGGAGUGGUGUGUCUAAGGGACUGGCUGAGAGUCUGCAGCCAGACUACAGUGAACGACUCUGCCUCGUCAGUGAGAUUCCCCCAAAAGGAGGGGUCCUCGGGGAGGGGCCUGGGGCCUCCCCAUGCAACCAGCAUAGCCCCUACUGGGCCCCCCCAUGUUACACCCUGAAGCCUGAAACCUGAACCCCAAUCCUCUGACAGAAGAACCCCAGGGUCCUGUAGCCCUAAGUGGCACUAACUUUCCUUCGUUCAACCCAUCUGCGUCUCAUACUCACCUCACUCCACUGUGGCUGAUUUGGAAUUUUGUGCCCCCAUGUAAGCGCCUUCAUUUGGCAUUCCCCACUUGAGAAUUACGCUUUUGCCCUGUACAUGUUUUUCUUCUCCCUCAGUCUGGCCCUUCCUUUUCGCAGGAUUCUUCCUCCCUCCCUCUUUCCCUCCCUUCCUCUUUCCGUCUACCCUCCAAUUAUUCCUGAACCGAUGAGAAAUAAAGUUUCUGUUGAUAAUCAUCAAAAA